rnacentral:rRNA from 1 species
AUGGAAUAUUGCCAAGCACCCUCCACUAUUUCGGAUAGUAUUUAUGGUUCUACCUUUUUCUUAGCAACUGGCUUUCAUGGUUUUCAUGUGAUUAUAGGUACUCUUUUCUUGAUCGUAUGUGGUAUUCGCCAAUAUCUUGGUCAUCUGACCAAGAAGCAUCACGUUGGCUUUGAAUUAAAGCUGAGGAUGUCAAAAAUUUGCCUCCUAUUGAAGAAAUACAUGGGCUUGAUACACCACCACCACCUAAGGUGGUAG